rnacentral:rRNA from 1 species
UAGAGUUUGAUCCUGGCUCAGGAUGAACGCUAGCGACAGGCCUAACACAUGCAAGUCGAGGGGCAUCGGGGCGAGGAGCAAUCCUUGCCGCCGGCGACCGGCGCACGGGUGAGUAACGCGUAUGCGACCUGCCCGUUGCAGGGGGAUAAUCGGGAGAAAUCCCGUCUAAUACCGCGUAAUGCCGCGGGGCUGCAUGGCCCUGCGGCCAAAGGGAGCGAUUCCGGCAACGGAUGGGCAUGCGUGACAUUAGCUAGUUGGCGGGGCAACGGCCCACCAAGGCGACGAUGUCUAGGGGUUCUGAGAGGAAGGUCCCCCACACUGGUACUGAGACACGGACCAGACUCCUACGGGAGGCAGCAGUGAGGAAUAUUGGUCAAUGGGCGCGAGCCUGAACCAGCCAAGUCGCGUGAGGGAUGACGGCCCUACGGGUUGUAAACCUCUUUUGUCGGGGAGCAAAUUCCGCCACGUGUGGCGGAGUCGAGAGUACCCGAAGAAAAAGCAUCGGCUAACUCCGUGCCAGCAGCCGCGGUAAUACGGAGGAUGCGAGCGUUAUCCGGAUUUAUUGGGUUUAAAGGGUGCGUAGGCGGACUGUCAAGUCAGCGGUAAAAUACGGGGGCUCAACCUCCGCCCGCCGUUGAAACUGACGGUCUUGAGUGGGCGAGAAGUAUGCGGAAUGCGUGGUGUAGCGGUGAAAUGCAUAGAUAUCACGCAGAACUCCGAUUGCGAAGGCAGCAUACCGGCGCCCAACUGACGCUGAAGCACGAAAGCGUGGGUAUCGAACAGGAUUAGAUACCCUGGUAGUCCACGCAGUAAACGAUGAAUACUAGCUGUCCGGGGCGAAUGAGCCCUGGGUGGCACAGCGAAAGCGUUAAGUAUUCCACCUGGGGAGUACGCCGGCAACGGUGAAACUCAAAGGAAUUGACGGGGGCCCGCACAAGCGGAGGAACAUGUGGUUUAAUUCGAUGAUACGCGAGGAACCUUACCCGGGCUCAAACGACACAGGAACGUACCUGAAAGGGUUCGGCUCUACGGAGCCUGUGUCGAGGUGCUGCAUGGUUGUCGUCAGCUCGUGCCGUGAGGUGUCGGCUUAAGUGCCAUAACGAGCGCAACCCCCAUCGACAGUUGCUAACAGGUCAGGCUGAGGACUCUGUCGAGACUGCCGGCGCAAGCUGCGAGGAAGGCGGGGAUGACGUCAAAUCAGCACGGCCCUUACGUCCGGGGCGACACACGUGUUACAAUGGCAGGUACAGCGGGAAGCCACCUGGCGACAGGGAGCGGAACCCGAAAGCCUGUCUCAGUUCGGAUUGGAGUCUGCAACCCGACUCCAUGAAGCUGGAUUCGCUAGUAAUCGCGCAUCAGCCACGGCGCGGUGAAUACGUUCCCGGGCCUUGUACACACCGCCCGUCAAGCCAUGGAAGCCGGGGGUGCCUGAAGUGCGCUGCCGCGAGGAGCGCCCUAGGGUAAAACCGGUGACUGGGGCUAAGUCGUAACGAGGUAACCGUAA